CAAAAAGACAAACCAAAUAAAACACGGAAACCCCACCCACCCCUUUCUAUUUCUCUCACGUGCCUUUCACUCUCUACUCCCAUCUUCUAGAAUUCUCUCCACUCUCACUUUCAUUUUGUUCGUCUCUAUUCCAAUUCACCAUAAUUCUUUUUCUCUUCUCUCCACUCUUGAUGGUUAAUUACUCAUAAGCAAAGCUAUCUCCUAGUCUAAAAGUGUUCAUGGGUAAAGAUUUUGGAGUUAGGGUUAUUGCUCUAAGAAAGGAGAAGAAUAUGAUCCAUCUCUUGAAAGUUGGUCAUUUAUAUUCUUUGAGAUUCGAUGAAAAUUGCUCCGGUGGUCAUUCCGGAAGGCAUUGCUAGGAACGGAGUUGAUUCGUCAUAGUUAUUCAAAGUCAACUGAAUAGAAAGCUUCUAUCAGAGUUAAAGAUUUGUCAAUGUCACUCUUUUG